GAUCAUGGCUCAGAACGAACGCUGGCGGCAUGCCUAACACAUGCAAGUCGAACGAGACCUUCGGGUCUAGUGGCGCACGGGUGCGUAACGCGUGGGAAUCUGCCCUUGGGUUCGGAAUAACACUUAGAAAUUUGAGCUAAUACCGAAUGAUGACGAAAGUUCAAAGAUUUAUCGCCCAGGGAUGAGCCCGCGUAGGAUUAGCUAGUUGGUGAGGUAAAGGCUCACCAAGGCAACGAUCCUUAGCUGGUCUGAGAGGAUGAUCAGCCACACUGGGACUGAGACACGGCCCAGACUCCUACGGGAGGCAGCAGUGGGGAAUAUUGGACAAUGGGCGAAAGCCUGAUCCAGCAAUGCCGCGUGAGUGAUGAAGGCCUUAGGGUUGUAAAGCUCUUUUACCCGGGAUGAUAAUGACUGUACCGGGAGAAUAAGCCCCGGCUAACUCCGUGCCAGCAGCCGCGGUAAU
rnacentral:rRNA from 1 species